rnacentral:rRNA from 1 species
UACAGAGGCCUCGAGCGUUAGGCGGAAUCACUGGGCUUAAAGCGUGUGUAGGUGGAUGCCUAAGUACCUUGUGAAAUCCCACGGCUUAACCGUGGAACUGCUGGGUAUACUGGGUGUCUUGAGCCACUCAGGGGCUACCGGAACAAACGGUGGAGCGGUGAAAUGCGUAGACAUCGUUUGGAACGCCAAUGGUGAAAACAGGUAGCUGGGGGUGUGCUGACACUGAGACACGAAAGCCAGGGGAGCAAACGGG